AAUAUCGUGAAAGAAAAAUGAUACUAGCAAAAUACUAUUCAAUGUAUUAUUUGUAUCAAUGGUGAUAUCAAUGAAGAUAUGAACAAGGUCUAUUUUUUAGCCGACUGCGACAAUCGUUAAUAUUAUGAUAUUAUUAUUGGUAACUUGAAAAUUCCGUCCUUUCAGAAUCUCUCAGGUUUCUCAGCGAAAAACUUUUCUAUGUGAUUUUUUAUCUCGAUCAAAGAGUUGAAGAUUUUUCCAUUAAGGAAAUUUUAUAAUGAUCGAAAUAGGUGGAAAUCAGAGAGUUAUCAAAGACAUAUGAGAUCGUGCAUUGUCCUGAUGAAACACGACGGCCUUCCAAUUCGUUAUUUCUGGACGUUUUUGUUCAAAUGCUGUCUUUAAUUUGUCUAAUUGGAAAUAAUACUUCUCUGAAUUUA